rnacentral:lncRNA from 1 species
GAACAGGCAGGAGCGGCAUUUUGCAGACUUUCGCAUAAGAGCGCAUAGCAGAUUCGAAAAUUGCUACUUUCGGAGAAAUAUAACGCGAUAUCGUAUCGGGCAACGAAUCAGGAACUAAUACGACUCGGCUAUUUAGCGUGACAGCUAAGUAGGUCGUCCGGCUUACUAGCAGCAUGGUUGCUGUUGUGGACAUCUUGCGGAAGAGCACUGCUCUUGGAAGAUUCAACACAACCUGUGUGAUUUCAGCGCCCUGCAAAAGCAUUAUGCAGAAAUUCCGUUAAAGCAAUUAGUCAACGUCUUUAUAACUACGUGGUACUGUGGCUCUGAAAGUGCCAUUACUUCGGAUGCGACGGAAAGCGUUGACCUUCGAGGGCUCGUAUCGCCAGAGCUAUCGACGACACAAAAAUAUAAGAAACGGAAAAAAAUAACGGAUUCCGCCAUAUUCGCCUAUCAAUUUAUUGCGGACUGAUCGCAACUCAAUGCCAAUGCAACGCCCACUACAACCGGGCCUUGAAAGACCUUGUACCGGCCUUCGAUGGCCGAUGCAGUGAGGGUGGUAAGCCUAAAUAGCGUGCACGUUGACGACUCGCUAGGGAAUCCUGAAGCACAAGGACGCCUGUGCUCGUUUCACUUCCCUGUUGACGCCGUACAGUCCCAACUAUAUAUGGAAUAAAGUAAGAACGGACCCGUUGUGGGCACAGAGACAUGGCCUGGGUCCCAAUGUGUCCCCCCAACACAUCUCAUCCGUAAUUGCGCGUCUAGCAGAUCGAGGACUUGCCACCGUUCGAAGGCUCAGAGAGAACAAGUUCUAAGCAGGCCAAGGCAGACUUUCUGGAGUUUGCCCGCGGAUCUACAUUUCGAACAGAUUUAUAGGAUGACAUAGUAAUCAUAUGUGUGUUAGGACAAAUAAAAAAUGGUGAAACCGCAAGAGCCUCU